GUACUGAUGAACAGUCCCAGGCUAAGACGAAACAGCCGUCCAGUAC
rnacentral:hammerhead_ribozyme from 1 species